rnacentral:rRNA from 1 species
GAUCAUGGCUCAGAUUGAACGCUGGCGGCAGGCCUAACACAUGCAAGUCGAGCGGUAGAGAGAAGCUUGCUUUCUGAGAGCGGCGGACGGGUGAGUAAUACCUAGGAAUCUGCCUGAUAGUGGGGGAUAACGUUCGGAAACGGACGCUAAUACCGCAUACGUCCUACGGGAGAAAGCAGGGGACCUUCGGGCCUUGCGCUAUCAGAUGAGCCUAGGUCGGAUUAGCUAGUUGGUGAGGUAAUGGCUCACCAAGGCUACGAUCCGUAACUGGUCUGAGAGGAUGAUCAGUCACACUGGAACUGAGACACGGUCCAGACUCCUACGGGAGGCAGCAGUGGGGAAUAUUGGACAAUGGGCGAAAGCCUGAUCCAGCCAUGCCGCGUGUGUGAAGAAGGUCUUCGGAUUGUAAAGCACUUUAAGUUGGGAGGAAGGGCAUUAACCUAAUACGUUGGUGUCUUGACGUUACCGACAGAAUAAGCACCGGCUAACUCUGUG